CAGCCGCCACGGUAAUACAGAGGGUGCGAGCGUUAAUCGGAUUUACUGGGCGUAAAGCGUGCGUAGGCGGCUUCUUAAGUCGGAUGUGAAAUCCCUGAGCUUAACUUAGGAAUUGCAUUCGAUACUGGCAGGCUAGAGUCUUGUAGAGGGGGGUAGAAUUCCAGGUGUAGCGGUGAAAUGCGUAGAGAUCUGGAGGAAUACCGGUGGCGAAGGCGGCCCCCUGGACAAAGACUGACGCUCAGGUGCGAAAGCGUGGGGAGCAAACAGGAUUAGAUACCCGGGUAGUCCCUGUCUCUUAUAC
rnacentral:rRNA from 1 species